CGAGGUGUAGCGCAGCUGGUAGCGCGCCUGCUUUGGGAGCAGGACGUCGCAGGUUCAAGUCCUGUCACCUCGACCA
rnacentral:tRNA from 1 species